rnacentral:rRNA from 8 species
CAGUGGGGAAUUUUGGACAAUGGGCGCAAGCCUGAUCCAGCCAUGCCGCGUGUCUGAAGAAGGCCUUCGGGUUGUAAAGGACUUUUGUCCGGGAGCAAAUCCCAGUGGUUAAUACCUACUGGGGCUGAGAGUACCGGAAGAAUAAGCACCGGCUAACUACGUGCCAGCAGCCGCGGUAAUACGUAGGGUGCAAGCGUUAAUCGGAAUUACUGGGCGUAAAGCGUGCGCAGGCGGUUGUGCAAGUCUGAUGUGAAAGCCCCGGGCUUAACCUGGGAACGGCAUUGGAGACUGCACGACUAGAGUGCGUCAGAGGGGGGUAGAAUUCCGCGUGUAGCAGUGAAAUGCGUAGAGAUG